UGGGGAAUAUUGCACAAUGGGCGCAAGCCUGAUGCAGCCAUGCCGCGUGUAUGAAGAAGGCCUUCGGGUUGUAAAGUACUUUCAGCGGGGAGGAAGGGAGUAAAGUUAAUACUUUUGCUCAUUGACGUUACCCGCAGAAGAAGCACCGGCUAACUCCGUGCCAGCAGCCGCGGUAAUACGGAGGGUGCAAGCGUUAAUCGGAAUUACUGGGCGUAAAGCGCACGCAGGCGGUUUGUUAAGUCAGAUGUGAAAUCCCCGGGCUCAACCUGGGAACUGCAGCUGAUACUGGCAAGCUUGAGUCUCGUAGAGGGGGGUAGAAUUACAGGUGUAGCGGUGAAAAGCGUAGAGAUCUGGAGGAAUACCGGUGGCGAAGGCGGCCCCCUGGGCGAAGACUGACGCUCAGGUGCGAAAGCGUGGGGAGCAAACAGG
rnacentral:rRNA from 1 species